UUUUGAUAUAUGCAUGAAUCCACUUCUCUAAUCCAGUGCUCCUGCCGUACCACAUGCAGAAAUUACGCCUUUCAAUGAAACCUCAUCAGUUUCAAUACCCACACCGUGCAUUUCCCUAAACCUAAAGUCUUGUUGACCAUUGCCGUCCCUGCAUGCCCAUUUAUCAUUGCACUCCAGAAAACCAAAUUCCUCUCAGUAAUUUCAUCAAACACCUUCCUAACAAGCACUAUUUCCUCACACUUUGCUUGAAACUCACCAAUAAAGAUUGUACGUAAGGGCUUAAAGUGAAAUUUAGGUUUUGAAUUUGAUUCGGUUCCAUCUGUCCUUCGAGCUCCAAUAGCAUACAGUCGACAUAGACGGUACGAAAUACCCACUUUCCGUUUUGCCUCAGCUCUCAUCCCUCAAGCACCGGCGAUUUAAGAUGGGAACAAAUUUUCACGUAACAUGCAUCUAGUUCCAGAAUGGGAUCUGGUAACAUUUUGUGGAGUUUGGCAAAGAAUUACUUCACUGUUGGGCUCAUAGGGCUCACCAUUUCAGAUCGAUAUGCUAGUGUUGUUCCAGUGCGAGGCACCUCUAUGUCUCCCACCUUUAAUCCCCAAACCAGUACCUUUUGGGGAUCAUCCAUUGAUGACUGUGUUCUGGUAGAGAAGUUUUGCCUUGAGAAGUACAAAUUCUCCCAUGGCGAUGUGGUAGUUUUCAGCUCCCCAAGUAAUCACAAGGAGAGACUCAUAAAGAGAAUUAUUGGCUUACCAGGCGACUGGAUUGGCACUCCUCAUUCACAUGAUGUGGUCAAGGUUCCAGAAGGACAUUGUUGGGUCGAGGGAGACAACUCACUUUCUAGCAUGGAUUCAAAAUCUUUUGGCCCGAUUCCUUUGGGGUUAAUUAAUGGAAGGGUUACCCACAUUGUAUGGCCUCCUCAAAGAAUAGGUGAGGUUGAGACAAGAAUGCCUCAGGGCAGAUUUUCUUCCUUCUAAUCAAAUUUCAAUGGUGGACUAACUUUGCUCUGGAUCAAUGGUUGCUGCAUUCUUUUAUCGGUUACAGUAUGUAUUGCUCUCAGCUUCUUUCAUGUUGCAGUGAUAUACAUUCCUACUUGAAAAUUAUCAUUGUUGUUGUCAUUGUUGCUAUCGUUAUUAUCAAUUUUGCCACCCUAAAUGAACCAGAUUGUUUUUCUAAAUGAGGGUGGUUGAGUUUUAUUUUUUCAGUUUCAAAUGUCAGUGUCACAAACCCUUUGUUUGGGAAAAAAAAUUAGGUGGG
rnacentral:misc_RNA from 1 species